rnacentral:rRNA from 1 species
CGAACGCUGGCGGCGCGCCUAACACAUGCAAGUCGAACGGAGCUUAGAGAGCUUGCUUUUUAAGCUUAGUGGCGAACGGGUGAGUAACGCGUGAGUAACCUGCCCUAGAGUGGGGGACAACAGUUGGAAACGACUGCUAAUACCGCAUAAGCCCACGGUGCCGCAUGACACUGAGGGAAAAGGAUUUAUUCGCUUUAGGAUGGACUCGCGUCCAAUUAGCUAGUUGGUGAGGUAACGGCCCACCAAGGCGACGAUUGGUAGCCGGACUGAGAGGUUGAACGGCCACAUUGGGACUGAGACACAGCCCAGACUCCUACGGGAGGCAGCAGUGGGGGAUAUUGCACAAUGGGGGAAACCCUGAUGCAGCGACGCCGCGUGGAGGAAGAAGGUUUUCGGAUUGUAAACUCCUGUCGUUAGGGACGAUAAUGACGGUACCUAACAAGAAAGCACCGGCUAACUACGUGCCAGCAGCCGCGGUAAAACGUAGGGUGCAAGCGUUGUCCGGAAUUACUGGGUGUAAAGGGAGCGCAGGCGGGAAGACAAGUUGGAAGUGAAAACCAUGGGCUCAACCCAUGAAUUGCUUUCAAAACUGUUUUUCUUGAGUAGUGCAGAGGUAGAUGGAAUUCCCGGUGUAGCGGUGGAAUGCGUAGAUAUCGGGAGGAACACCAGUGGCGAAGGCGGUNUACUGGGCACCAACUGACGCUGAGGCUCGAAAGCAUGGGUAGCAAACAGGAUUAGAUACCCUGGUAGUCCAUGCCGUAAACGAUGAUUACUAGGUGUUGGGGGAUUGACCCCCUCAGUGCCGCAGUUAACACAAUAAGUAAUCCACCUGGGGAGUACGACCGCAAGGUUGAAACUCAAAGGANUUGACGGGGGCCCGCACAAGCAGU